ensembl:rRNA 5S_rRNA 5S ribosomal RNA
AUCUCUGCCCAAACCACCCUGAACACACCCAGCCUCACGUGAUCCAGGAGGCUAAGUGGGGCUGGGCCUACUUAGUACUUGAAUGGAUGAUCCCUUGGGAAUACCAGGUGGUACAGGCU